rnacentral:rRNA from 1 species
UGGGGAAUAUUGGACAAUGGGCGAAAGCCUGAUCCAGCAAUGCCGCGUGAAUGAUGAAGGCCUUAGGGUUGUAAAAUUCUUUCAGUAGGGAAGAUAAUGACGGUACCUACAGAAGAAGCUCCGGCUAACUCCGUGCCAGCAGCCGCGGUAAUACGGAGGGAGCUAGCGUUGUUCGGAAUUACUGGGCGUAAAGAGCGCGUAGGUGGUUUAUCAAGUUGGGAGUGAAAUCCCAGGGCUUAACCCUGGAACUGCUUUCAAAACUGGUAAACUAGAGUUUGGUAGAGGAUGGUGGAAUUCCUAGUGUAGAGGUGAAAUUCGUAGAUAUUAGGAGGAACACCGGUGGCGAAGGCGGCCAUCUGGGCCAAUACUGACACUGAGGCGCGAAAGCGUGGGGAGCAAA